rnacentral:rRNA from 1 species
AAAUAGAACUUUGCAGAGAGAGUUAACAGGGCGUGAAACCGUUAAUUGGCAAACGAAUCGGAGCCACGAAGUCGUUUCGUUGAUAAGUUGGGCCGAGUUCAGUUUAGCUGCUAACAGCUGAAUGUAUUCUCGUUUGUCCAGCCAAAAAUCAUUGUAAGCGUACACUGCAACCAGUUAGACAAUUGGCGAUGGGCCAAGUCGGGCGAGCUUUCGGGCUUGUUCGAUGCAGCAUUUGUGUGCUCAAGUUAGUAGUAGCGUGGGUUAGCUUCGGUUAAUUUUGUGUUGCUGGGCUUGAGUGCGUGAACUAUCACCAAAUACUGACUGGCAAAAUGAAAAUCGCUCAUUGAGCGUAAUAUAAAAUGCAGCAGUUAGCAUAGGCGUCUACACGCUUGACCGUAGGGUUUAAGCUCAGCAUUUUUGAAUUUGGACUUGCUAGCUACCAAUGGGGCAACUCUUGGUGCUAGUAUAGCUUUCAUCUAAUCGGGUGUUGACUUGAUUUUACGUCGUUCGGGUGUGCUACGUUAGGGCGUUUAUGUUAGAUUGUUCGCAAUUUAAUUGGCAGUGAGUAGGUCGGCUUUCCGAACGACCCGUCUUGAAACACGGACCAAGGAGUCUAAUUAGGCAUCGAGUCGAUCGGUCUUGAAUAGGCCAGAGUGGGUAGUUUCGACUAUCCGAUUGAAAGCGUAGAGAAAUCAAAUCAUGUGAUCAUUGGGGCAACAACAGCCUCGAUGCGCAACAUGUGCCUGCUCGUAUAGCAAUGUUAGCAAUAACUUGCUGGGCGGAGCAAAGAGAUGCUUGAUUGGUACC